rnacentral:rRNA from 1 species
GAUGAACGCUGGCGGCGUGCCUAACACAUGCAAGUCGAACGGAAAGACCCUGCUUUUGUGCGGUUCUCGAUUGGGGAAGGGGUGAGUAUCACGCGUGUAUCCUGCCCUUGUCUUUCGGAGAACUUCACGAAAAUGCGGCUAAUACAGGAUAGGAUCUCCUGCUGCAUUGUGGGCGUUGGAAAAUUUCGGCGGUUGGGGAUGGACUCGCGGCUUACCAGCUUGUUGGUGGGGUAGUGGCUGACCAAGGCUUUGACGGGUAGGCGGCCUGAGAGGGUGACCGGGCACAUUGGGAAUAAGAUACGGCCCAGACUCCUACGGGAGACAGCAGUGGGGAAUAUUGCACAAUGGGCGGAAGCCUGAUGCAGCAACGCCGCGUGCGGGAUGACGGCCUUCGGGUUGUAAACCGCUUUCGCCUGUGACGAAGCGUGAGUGACGGUAAUGGGUAAAGAAGCACCGGCUAACUACGUG